rnacentral:lncRNA from 1 species
GACGUUCCUUCAUAAUAGAAACCUGAUUUCCUGAUCUCUCAGACUGAAACAACGUUGCUUUUAAAAAAAAAAGUCUUUGAAACUAAAGCUUGGCUGUAAUGAAGUUCAUGAAAGGAAUAAGCUACUGAGGAUAUUUGCUAAAUAUGCUGACAUUAUUCGCAUUUGUUUAGAGAAAUGAUGGCUACAGACUGCAAGAUGCCUUACUCAGAGGAGAGAGAGGGACCAGUGUUGUAUGCUUGAGAUGGACUAAUUAUUUCUGCUGUUAUCUCAUCUCCCAGAAGAUCAUUUUCUCCGAAGACACAUGUUUUCUUUAUGAAAGGAAAUAAGCAAAAUUAAAAAAGAAUUAUAUCAUGGAAAGAAUUAGCAUUGUGUUUGUGUUAAGCAGAAACAAAUAUUAACUUGGAUUGUUUGGGAAACCGAGCAUAUAUUAGGCAAGUUAUUCUGAGUAAAAAUGAAAAGAAAACUUUUAAAGGAAGGGCACUUAAAAC